rnacentral:rRNA from 1 species
GACGAACGCUGGCGGCGUGCCUAAUACAUGCAAGUCGAGCGCAGGAAACUGACGGAACUCUUCGGAGGGAAGGCAGUGGAAUGAGCGGCGGACGGGUGAGUAACACGUAAGGAACCUGCCUCAAGGAUUGGGAUAACUCCGAGAAAUCGGAGCUAAUACCGGAUAGUUCAACGGACCGCAUGGUCCGCUGAUGAAAGGCGCUCCGGCGCCACCUUGAGAUGGCCUUGCGGUGCAUUAGCUAGUUGGUGGGGUAACGGCCCACCAAGGCGACGAUGCAGAGCCGACCUGAGAGGGUGAUCGGCCACACUGGGACUGGGACACGGCCCAGACUCCUACGGGAGGCAGCAGUAGGGAAUCUUCCACAAUGGACGAAAGUCUGAUGGAGCAACGCCGCGUGAGUGAUGAAGGUUUUCGGAUCGUAAAACUCUGUUGUAAGGGAAGAACACGUACGAGAGGAAAUGCUCGUACCUUGACGGUACCUUACGAGAAAGCCACGGCUAACUACGUGCCAGCAGCCGCAGUAA